rnacentral:rRNA from 1 species
GAUGAACGCUGGCGGCGUGCCUGAUACAUGCAAGUCGAACGGGCCAGAACAACUUGGAAGUAACAGAAGGCGCGGAAGAUGAGAAAUCGUACGAAGAGCUGGAAGGGACGGAAAGGUUGAAUGCUGGUCAGUGGCGAACGGGUGAGUAACACGUUGGUAUCUACCCCGAGGUGGGGAAUAACGGUUCGAAAGAGUCGCUAAUUCCGCAUGAGAUCCGAAAGGAUGAAAGGGCUUCGGCCCGCCUUGGGAUGAGCCUGCGGCCGAUUAGCUAGUUGGUAGGGUAAAGGCCUACCAAGGCGACGAUCGGUAGCUGGUCUGAGAGGAUGAUCAGCCACACUGGAACUGAGACACGGUCCAGACUCCUACGGGAGGCAGCAGUAAGGAAUAUUGCACAAUGGGGGAAACCCUGAUGCAGCAACGCCGCGUGAGCGAUGAAGGCCUUCGGGUUGUAAAGCUCUUUUCUAAGGGAAGAGGAAGGAC